CUACGGAGGAUCCGAGCGUUAUCCGGAUUUAUUGGGUUUAAAGGGUGCGCAGGCGGGAGAUUAAGUCGGCGGUGAAAUUUUGCAGCUCAACUGUAAAAGUGCCUUCGGAAAUGGUUUUCUUGAGUGUGGGUGAAGUAGGCGGAAUUUGUGGUGUAGCGGUGAAAUGCAUAGAUAUCACGAGGAACUCCGAUUGCGCAGGCAGCUUACUAAACCAUAACUGACGCUCAGGCACGAAGGCGUGGGGAUCAAACAGGAUUAGAUACCCUGGUAGUCCACGCAGUAAACGAUGAUUACUAGCUGUUUGCGAUACAAUGUAAGCGGCUGAGCGAAAGCGUUAAGUAAUCCGCCUGGGGAGUACGUUCGCAAGAAUGAAACUCAAAGGAAUUGACGGGG
rnacentral:rRNA from 1 species